UUAAAGUCUGUUUUUUCCUUUUAAAACAGUCCGGUGAACUUGACAGAAAAUGCUUUUAUAAAUAUGGCUCAUAGUCUUCGAAACUGUGUAUGAGCUUGGUAAUGCUAGGUCGGGUUGCUGGCUUCGUUUUACAAUGUAUAGAAAUGUCUGAUAUUUUUGUUUGGUGAUUCUCCACAAAACGUUGUUUUAUGCGUAUGUAAAGACCACCUUCUUGUCACGGAUUUGUGCCACGGAAUAAUUUAGUGAACAAAACGUUAUUCAUCAUAAAAACAAACAAAAAAAGCCAGCGCUUCAAAUGAGGUCACAUGUUCACGUGCGAAUGCAGGACUGUUUUUGUGUCGUUUUGAAAAGUCAGCAAAAGUUCACCUUUUUUUUCAUUUAAAUGCUGGCUAUGUAGACUGCAUGUGUGCUCCUGUGUCUGCUCAAUGCACCCCCUGCAAGCCACCCGGGCAUCUCUUCUGGGUCUCUUUGCAGUCGUUAAAUGUGCAAUCCUAUAAUAAUGGAUACUACUGCACCCCAUAAAUUAACUUUUCGUCAUCCUUGAUUAACGUGUGUUGAGACGUGUGUCAAGGGUAUUAACCUUGCUUCUGAUUGGUCAGUUAUACUUCAGUCGUGCAAUGAAAAAAAAAAAUAGAAACAGUUACAGGGGAAAACAAAACUCAUAAGUUUGUUAGCACUUCCCUGUUAACCCAGUGAAAGGUCUGGACUACCAAACAGUAAGUCAGCUGUUUGCAAUGUGGCGCUUUACAUUCAAAAGCCAGUCGGGUACCAGGCACACCGUGUGUCACCAGGACAUUGUCAUCUUUGAUUGUGGGUGACACGAGGCACUUCUGUAGCUUUGCUUAGAAUUGUAUGCCAAGGCACAGGCAACCGCGCAUAUGAAUAGAAGAAAAGGCUGUGCUUUGCAAACCUUCACAACAUCGGUAAGUUACUACAUACUCAUGACAUAGAUGCAUCUGAGAACAGCCAGUCACAAACGCUGAAGCAAACAACCUUCGACUGGCAUUGGAGGAGCAACAGGAUCAGUGCGUCCAGCAGGUUCAGACUAAGAGCUGAACCCUGACGUCAUAAUUCUUCAACAAAAAAUCCAGUCUCUUUUUCUUUGUCAGUCACAAUUUUAAAUUCGGUUGACUUCGGGGUACGCUUGUAGGGAGGUACGAAAGUGUGGAUGGGUACGCGUGUGUCUGAGUUUUGCUCUGUCUCAAAAAUGCAAAGCUGCUGAUUGUGUGCAAAUUAGUGUAGCCUUCCCAAGUCAGCCAGAGUUACACUGGCUAGUAAAGAUCUUUGUGGAAGGCAUUUGAUUAUCUUUUGAUAAUGUUAGAAUUGUGUUAAUUGGAAACUAGCUGUGGUAAUGUAUAUUUCAAAAGGAAAUGAACGAAUAACAUACAGAAUAAUACUGCACUGGAAACGAUCUACUGCCCUUGUGUGGUUUGUGAUCCCCCGAACUAGAAUAUAUUUUCUGUUAGAGUCUGUGUUUAAUAGUUAGAAAGAACUUCAAAAGGGUUUCUACUGGGUUUUUUUUCCACUGUGUAUAAAUGUUUCAGGCUUUCCCAUUCAUAAAUAAAUAUGUUUGAAUGUUAGUAAAUGUUAUGUCCUGUUUACAUGUUUGUAAGAUAAUUGGCCCUAAUCAUGCAGUUCAUUGGAACUGUUUUUUAUUCGACUGGAUAACAAUGAAUCCUUUCUCGGCAGUGUUUGAAGGCGUUUAUAGAUACAGCAUUGGUAUGUUUGGGGAGUACCGGAUGUCUUUAUUAGAGUGUUAUUGUGGCAGCUGGUUUCAGAUUUCUGAAGCAUGAACUGGACAGAGCUCUCCUUUUCAAUAUAUCCUGCUUUUUAAUUGAAACUGUGUUGUCAUUGCUGCUGUUAAGAUUACAAAACACCAGUUAUUGCAGGUUCCAGAAACGGGUAGCACUGUGCUUUUGGGAAAAAAAGAUUAUAGGUUUGCAUCUACAGAUUAUUUUUUAUUAGCAAAUGCCCCUGAGGAGAAAUUGGCUUCUUGGGGAGGGCUUCAGAAGUUCAGAAAUAGCUGCAUGAUUCAGCCUGGCUGCAGCUGUUCCUGAUUAACUCCCAGCCUGAGUUUUCAACAGUACACUUGCACUGGGCCACUUUGUGGGUAUAGUGCAUGUACUAUACCCAUAAAGCAAUGUGAUUAGUUCUCAGUUGCUUAUAAACCACCAUGUUCACAUGUGUGCAGUACAGUUCCCCUGUGAGAGACAGUACAGGCCUGCUGCGGGCAAUCUUUAAGAUCAGACAGUGCAGAGGUGAAGCACAGCUGGAAAGGAAUCCUGUCUCAGUGCAGAGGUGAAGCACAGCUGGAAAGGAAUCCUGUCAGUGCAGAGGUGAAGCACAGCUGGAAAGGAAUCCUGUCUCAGUGCAGAGGUGAAGCACAGCUGGAAAGGAAUCCUGUCUCAGUGCAGAGGUGAAGCACAGCUGGAAAGGAAUCCUGUCUCAGUGCAGAGGUGAAGCACAGCUGGAAAGGAAUCCUGUCUCAGUGCAGAGGUGAAGCACAGCUGGAAAGGAAUCCUGUCUCAGUGCAGAGGUGAAGCACAGCUGGAAAGGAAUCCUGUCUCAGUGCAGAGGUGAAGCACAGCUGGAAAGGAAUCCUGUCAGUGCAGAGGUGAAGCACAGCUGGAAAGGAAUCCUGUCAGUGCAGAGGUGAAGCACAGCUGGAAAGGAAUCCUGUCUCAGUGCAGAGGUGAAGCACAGCUGGAAAGGAUUCCUGUCAGUGCAGAGGUGAAGCACAGCUGGAAAGGAACAGGGCAAGCCUGUCUCAGUUAAGGUGUUAGAAAGUUCUCUCGCUCUGAGCCGCUCAGGUACUGCACUCAUAUCUGCAGUCUCUGUCAGCAGGUCUUCUCAUAUUAGUGCACAGGAACCACCAGUCUUGAAGUUUGGGGAAAACGUACAAAUAAAAUGAAAAGCAAUACUUAGAACACUCUUGUGUGUACUGUAGAUGUCGGCAGUGUUUUGAAGUUGCUUUUGGGUAAAGCGAGGAUAAUACCUCCUGUGGUCAGUGCUGUUUCUGUCUUUUUUAUUUUCUGUAUGUGUUUUCACACUUUGUGUUUGUAACUGUACAUGCAUUGGCAAUGGAGUGGAGGAUUUCAAUAAAAGAUGGUAUUGGUA